GAGAAGGUUCACCUCGCCCAACCCCUGCCCAGGAAGGGACCCACAGAGCAGGGUGUCCAGACUCAUGUCCAGGUCCGGACAUCACUGCAAAGAGCCUGGCUCCAUCCUCUUUGCACUCUUCCUUCAGUAUUGCCCAUGUCUCUUUCUACUGGAUACUUGGUGGGGAUGGUCAGAGUUGGACACAGCAUUCCAGUUGUGGGCUUAUUAUAGCUGAGUAGAGGGGAAGGAUCGGCUUCAUUCACCUGCUGGAAACUGCCUAUUUCAGCCCUGUACACCUGCUUCUUGAAGACAACAGGACAGAUUUCAUUUGUUAGCUGGUAGUGAAGACUGUUUCAUUGCUGUCAAGUACUGAUUAGUUCCAAGAUGGUAAGACUGAGACUUCAGCAUGUAAAUGAUGAACACAAAUAAAUGCUUUUCUGCUACAGCUUUAUACAGAAAAAGAAAUAAAAGAUUUAAUUGCA